CAGCCCGCGGGAAUACAGAGGGUGCGAGCGUUGAUCGGAUUUACUGGGCGUAAAGCGUGCGUAGGCGGCUUUUUAAGUCGGAUGUGAAAUCCCUGAGCUUAACUUAGGAAUUGCAUUCGAUACUGGGAAGCUAGAGUAUGGGAGAGGAUGGUAGAAUUCCAGGUGUAGCGGUGAAAUGCGUAGAGAUCUGGAGGAAUACCGAUGGCGAAGGCAGCCAUCUGGCCUAAUACUGACGCUGAGGUACGAAAGCAUGGGGAGCAAACAGGAUUAGAUACCCCCGUAGUCCCUGUCUCUUAUACAC
rnacentral:rRNA from 1 species